rnacentral:rRNA from 1 species
ACCGAGUGAGGGCCCUCUGGGUCCAACCUCCCACCCGUGUUUAUUUUACCUUGUUGCUUCGGCGGGCCCGCCUUAACUGGCCGCCGGGGGGCUCACGCCCCCGGGCCCGCGCCCGCCGAAGACACCCUCGAACUCUGUCUGAAGAUUGAAGUCUGAGUGAAAAUAUAAAUUAUUUAAAACUUUCAACAACGGAUCUCUUGGUUCCGGCAUCGAUGAAGAACGCAGCGAAAUGCGAUACGUAAUGUGAAUUGCAAAUUCAGUGAAUCAUCGAGUCUUUGAACGCACAUUGCGCCCCCUGGUAUUCCGGGGGGCAUGCCUGUCCGAGCGUCAUUGCUGCCCUCAAGCCCGGCUUGUGUGUUGGGCCCCGUCCUCCGAUCUCCGGGGGACGGGCCCGAAAGGCAGCGGCGGCACCGCGUCCGGUCCUCGAGCGUAUGGGGCUUUGUCACCCGCUCUGUAGGCCCGGCCGGCGCUUGCCGAUCAACCCAAAUUUUUAUCCAGGUUGACCUCGGAUCAGGUAGGGAUACCCGCUGAACUUAA